rnacentral:rRNA from 1 species
UACGUAGGGGGGCGAGCGUUGUCCGGAUUUAUUGGGCGUAAAGAGCGUGUAGGCGGCCAGGUAGGUCUGCUGUGAAAACUCGAGGCUCAACCUCGAGACGUCGGCGGAAACCAUCUAGCUAGAGUCCGGAAGAGGAGAGUGGAAUUCCUGGUGUAGCGGUGAAAUGCGCAGAUAUCAGGAAGAACACCCGUGGCGAAGGCGGCUCUCUGGUACGUGACUGACGCUGAGACGCGAAAGCGUGGGGAGCGAACAGG